ensembl:lncRNA
CUUGGGCCAGGGAGAGAUUGAAAAUUCUGGUAAAGAUGUGGGCAAGCUGGUGGGCACAUGAUCUGAGCACGUUACCAGGUACACCGUCUGGGCCAGCAGCCUUCCUGGGGUUCACUGCCAGAAACAUCCGUCUAACAUCGUGUUCCCUCACAGUAAGUAGAGUGGUGCAGGAACCAGAAGGGGAUGGAGGCAGGGCUGGACUGGUACGGGGGCCAGAUGAGGCUUGUUUACUCAAGCCUACCUUGAAUAGAUUCUGUUCUACUACUUCGCAGUCAUAAUAAUCUUUUUUUCUCCCUCUCUCCUUUCGCCGAGCCCCACACGAAUUUAUGGAGAUACUAGAGAUCCAGAUCCUUUCUGCCUCUGGAUGGAGCUCAGAUCUUCUCUAAUUCCAGACUGCUGGGACUACGGCUGCUCCUAACGCCAUACAGACUUCAUAUAAAUCCAUAAUGAAAUUUUUCACACUAUCUGUUGUUACCCAGAUGAGGACGGGUUCCCUUCUGAGUCGGGUUCCUCUCAAGGUUUCUUCCUCUUAAAACAUCUUAGGGAGUUUUUCCUUGCCACCAUCGCCACUCAGUGGCUUGCUCAGUUGGGAUAAAUUUACACCUUUAAUAUCUGUAUACCAUGUUGAUAUUUCUGUAAAGCUGCUUUGAGACAAUGUCUAUUGUAAAAAGCGCUAUACAAAUAAAAUUGAAUUGAAUUGAAGGCUAGCCUGGCUUGUCUGAUCCCACAAAAGAGCUACUGUAGCUCAAAUUGAUGAAAAAGUUACUUUUGGCUAUGAUAGAAAGAUGUCAGGACACACAGUGCUCACAACUUGCUGCGUAUGGGGCUCCGUAGCCACAGUCAGAGUGCCCAAGCUGACCCCUGUCCACCACCAAAAGCACCUACUAUGGGCACGUGAGCAUCAGAUCUGGACCAUGGAGCAAUGGAAGAAGGUUGCCUGGUCUGAUCAAAUUUUCUUUUGCAUCAUGUGGACAGCCAGAUGUAUGUGCAUCGCUUUACUGGGGAAGAGAUGGCAACAGGAUGCACUAUGGGAAGAAGGAAAGCUGGUGGAGGAAGUGUGAUGCUCUGGGCAAUGUUCUGCUGGGAAACCUUGGGUCCUGGCACUCAUGUGGAUGUUACUUUGACACAGACAACCUACCUAAACAUUGUUGCAGGCCAUGUACACCCCUUCAUGCAAAGAGCAUUCCCUAAUUGCAGUGACCUCUUUCAGCAAGAUAACGUGCCCUGCCACACUGCAAAAAUUGUUCAUGAGUGGUUUGAGGAACAUGACAAAGAGUUCAAGGUGUUGAUUUGCCCUCCAAAUUUCCCAGAUCUCAAUCCGAUUGAGCAUCUGUGGGAUGUGCUGGACUAAAAGUCCGACCCAUAGAGGCCCCACCUCACAACUUACAGGACUUAAAGGAUCUGCUGAUAACAUUUUGGUGCCAAAUACAGCUCACCUUCAGAGGUCUUGUGGAGUCCAUACCUCAGUGGGUCAGAGCUGUUUUGGUGGCACAAGGGGAACCUACACAAUAUUAGGCUGGUGGUUUUAACGUUAUUUCUAAUUCACGUACAUUCGCGAGUACGAAGAAAAUCAAUGUUUCCGAAACUCUGGUGGAAUAUUUUUGGUUGGUUUUGCUUACACAGACAUUUACACACAAAUUUCAAAAAGAUUAUCAAAUGAGGCCCUUUGUCUGCUGUAUUCUUAGAAAGUGCAUUGUGACAUCUUGUGAUGACAUCAAUGAUAGAUGAUCAUAUUGUGUAGUUCUAUUAAUGGCUUAAUAGUCAUUUUUUACUGCAACUUAUAGGAUAGCUAUAAGCUUGGUGGAGUAGAAUCAUCAAUGAGUUUCCUGUCAGAGAUUCAAGAGAGAUUCCUGUCAGAGAUUCAAUGAUUUGCUUUGUGCAAGAUAUCCUGGAAUAAACCUGUUUUCUUACAAUGUUCUUCAUAACAGUAGUUGUAGUAGUGAACUGACAACUGAAGCAAUUGCCUAUAUGCAUGAGAAGCAUUUCCUCUUGCAAGGUUUAAUGAGAAACGUUCUUUCUGUCCCUUACUCUAAUUUUUUUUUGCCUAAAGGAGGUCAAUAUGGGGGAAAAAGUCACUCUGUUCCCUAAUUCUAGGGAAUUCUUAGAGGCUUGGAGUAAGCACACAAUUCCAACACAACUUCAUCAGCACGCUGAUCAAAGCCAUGCAAGGGGAGCCAUCAGCCUUUCUUUUAGUCUCUAUUCCGCUUUCUUUCUUUGUUUCUUUUUUCUCAUUUUUCUUUUCAUUUUUUUAGAUUAUUGUUAGAAAGUACUAGUGCUCAAAAAAGAGAAAGCAAGAAAAAAAGAGAGAUGAUGUGAGCUGGUGCCUUUUAAUAGGUUAAUUUGGCCAAGCAGCUUUUGUCUGUCUGUCACUCACAGAUUGAAAUUCAAUGUAAUGGCUUGUUUAGUUUGGUUAAACUGGCCUCAAGCCAGUCUUGACCAAAUAGUACACUGUACUUAAUGAGUCUUUUUCUCUCCUUUUCAAUUUUUCACUCCAUCUCCCAGGGCAUUAACUAUGUCUCUCUUUAGUCAGUUCAUUAGCUCAGCAUUUAUUUUGUGUGCUCCACUGGCACAUAUCUUGACUUAUCUGAAUGCAGAAAGGUUAAACUACAACUGGACCAAUCAGGUUUUUUACAACAUCAAUGACUAAUAGUGGCCUAUCCAACUCAGCAAAGUUGCCACCUUUCAUAAAGCCUGGUCUGGAGUUGAUAUGAAAGCAUGUUUGUGGAUAACUAUGCAUGAUGGGAAAGAAAUUAAGUGAGUAAGCUACAGCAUAGGAGAAAAAAGACAGAGCGUAGUGGGGAAAGGUUAAUAAAGGAAGGAGUGAAAGGCACAGUGAGUGAAUGUAGGGGAAAAAAUUCCACUCGACUUAGCACAAGUUGAGUAAACCAUAGCGGAAAGUGUGGCUGUCAAGCUCCAGGAGGCACAGAGGUCAGUGUUUGCAUGGAAAAGUCACUAUCCUUAAAAAAGAAGUUGAAAAGGAGAAUGGGAAGUCAAAGGGGCAACUAUGUCUGAAAUGACUCAAUUUUUUUCACAUGGAGGACCUCAACAGCACUAAAAUAAAUCAUAAAGAAAUGGGAAGCAGAUCUCAAAAAAUUUAGAGUAACAGCAGCUUUGAAUUACAAAUUUAAAAAUUAGGAGUUACAAAUUAACAUAUUAGGUUGUAAACUUGAAAUAAUUACUAUUCCUAUCAGUAUAUUCACAUUAAAGGACAUACAUGGAGUGUAAAUUGUUUCCCUUUUUUUCUUUACCAAAUCAGGGUCUUUUAGGGUUAGGGUUAGGGUCUAAUGUACCUAAAUGAGCCUCCACCUGCUGCUCACACACCUGUCUACCACAACACCAAUACCACUACUGUCUGAAAACAAGGCAGAAGAGCCAUGACCAUGAAAGAUUAGAGCACGAUAAUGUUGAUACAGAAAGGGUUUUAAACAUUUUGUCAUACUUCAUACCUCCUGCCUUUUUUCUCUGGCUUACCUCACUUUUUACCUUACUUACCUCACAUCUUAGAAAGCACAGCAUCCCUCAGGGAAAAAAAGUGUGUAGGAUAAAUAGCCCUUUUGUGUACAUCAGCAGAAUCUCCAUGAUAAUAUUUUUUUCUCUUUCACAAAAAAUUUGGAGUAUCACUCUGCUAAUACCAAAUGUGCAUAAGACCAUAGCAUUAAUGAAAUAAAGAAUGAGAGUGAGAUUUGUGAUUUAAGAUUAAUAUUGUGAUUGUUUGCAGUGAAAGUGUUACUAGCAGUGCAGCAUGUGUUUAUAUUGUAAGCUGAUUAGAGGAUCACCAGGUCCCACCAGUGGUGAGCCACUUGCUGGCGAUGCAACUUCUCAUCUUUGCUGGUGAGUGGGAUACUAAUCUCCUUCCUCCGCUCCAUUAUUUAAGUACAAAUAAUCAAAUGCUUGGCUUUUUAUGAAUCUUGAAACAGCAAGGGCAGUUAUUUGGAUGAGAAAAACAGGGUCAUACUGGACAUAUAUAUCUCACUAAUGCCAAGCUGUAUAACUACUUCAACAAACUAUGAAUAAUGGACAGUACCUGCAAUAUUUCAUGAUUUUGUGAUUUGAGACACAAUAUCAAGCAAACUCCACAAUAUUCAAUGGAUCUUGCAAUUUUUUAAAACUACUGUAGAUAUUCAGCAGAUCUGGGACAAGAUGCGUCAUGUGACAACACAACGUGCAUUCAGUCAAACUGCUCGUCGAUUCACUUGCAUCAAUCAUGACUGCAGCUGAAAUGUCUCAUCUACUAACAAGUUCCCUUUAAAAGGAGACACAAUGUUGCGUGAGCUUUAUGCUGUGGGAAGCGCCCUUGUGUCUGACUGGUCUCUGAAGCUUGUGUAACAUCAUGCCUAUUUAUAGGCCUACCGUGAUCAGGUUACGUGGCAAUUAAGCAUGUCGUGUGAUAUAAAAAUGGCACUUUUGAACCAUGCCGUCAGCCUUGUUAUUUUCAGCGAGACUGCAUGUCAGUCAUUUGUGUGAUGCUUGCAAAAAAACUCUUCAUUUCCUCUCUAUCUUUAAAAAAAAAAAAAUCAUGCUUCUGAAAACCAUACAUAAGCCGUAUUUAUAACCCUGUGAUGUCUGAUUAUUCGGCCAUCGUGGGGAAUAAACAGCACUAUUUAGCUAUUUAGCUAUGCCGAAGGUGGAGGAGGCGCUUGCAAGCGACCUCUCUCCAUCGAUGGCAGGUACUUUAGCGGGGCUGGCUUUUCCAUCCAAGCCAUGUAAGGCCACCUUGGCAUUGGUGGGCAAGGCCUAUGUGGCAGUGGGUCUUGUUUGUGGGUCACUGCAUACAAUAGCAGUGUUGCGGGCCUACCAAGCAGACCUGUUGAGUGAGAUCGACAUGCAGCGGCAUUCAGCCCCAUCAUGUCGAGUUCGAAGCCAGCACUAGUGCGAGGGAGGCACAGAAGCCGAGUGUGCUGGCCCACUUCUCCCCACAGAGAGCCAGGGGAACUGGGCAGCCACAGUCACAGCCUGCUAAUAGGCCUGAUCUGAGAAUGGUCAUCAAGGCCAAGCAGACAAAGGAAGAGCGGUCCUGAGCGGCCGCGGAGGGAUGUAUCAGGGGACAUGAGGUUGUUAGGGCAGUUAUCUCCCAGUACUACUGUAGGGCCUCCCCUAGCUAAGGCUGUCCCAAGUUUUCAGUGUUCUCUGGUGCAGCCCACGUCAUGUCAUUGGGCCUAUUGCACAUGAGACUGUUUCAGUGGUGCCUGAAAAGUCAGGUGUUUUGUCUGAGGAUGAAACCUUUGAGAGUAAUCAAUGUCACAUGGCGAUGCCUACUUGCUCUGAAAAUUUGGAGGAAUCCCCAGUUUCUAGCCUUGGGUCACACUCUACAGGCAUCUCCUUGUCGCAAGAUGGUAAUGCCAGACGCCUUCCUCAUGGGUCUUAGGCAGCUGUCCAGCUCGCAGUCUUUGGAGCGGCCCUCAUCGGGAGUGGCACUUAAAUCACUUAGGAAUGUGGGCUUUCUUCCCCAAUUAAGAGGUCACCAUGUGCAAGUUGUGACAGACAACACAGCGGUGGUCUCAUAUCAACCACCAGGGAGGGUUACGUUCACGCCCCCUGUUCAGACAGGCGUAACUAAUUCUUCUCUGGGCACUGGGAAAGUUCUUGUCAGUGAGUGCAAUGUACAUUCCAGGCAACCGGAAUGUGGGGGAGUCUGUAUACGGCCAAGCGGAAGUGGAUGUGUUCGCCUCCGAGGAGACAACACACUGCCUGCUGUGGUUUGCCCUCACUCCUUGCACCAGUGGGGCUGGGCACCAUGGUGCACAUGUGUAUGCUUUCCCCCUAUUGCUCUGCUCCCACAAGUUCUAGCAAGAGUUUGCCAAGACCGUCUACUGUGGACCUGGCCCCUGAGGGGCACCAGCUCAUAGAUUCUGGUCUCACAGCUGAGGUUGUAGAAACCAUGUUGAAUGCUAGAGCACCAUCCACGAGGAAAUUGUAUGCACUCAAGUGGCGACUUUUUGUCUCAUGAUGUGAGGAACAUCAGCUAGACCCAGUGAACUGCGCAAUAGCUGCAGUCCUGAAGUUCUUACAAGGAUGAUUCUCAGCAGGGUUGGCUCCUUCUACAUUCUUACAUACAUACAUGAAGGUCUGUCAGGUGCCCCAUUUGCGCCCUUAGAGUCAGCCUCUCAGCUUCUGACUGUAAAGGUAGCUCUGGCCCUAACAUCUCUCAAGCGAAUAGGAGAUCUACAAACUCUCUCUGUUGCCCCUUCCUGCCUUGACUUUGCCCCUAGAUUACACAAGGCCUUCCUAUAUCCUAGGCCAGAUUAUAUUCCUAAAGUGCUUACAUCUGCUGCCGAGCCAGUAGUGUUGCAGGCUUUCUGCCCUCCUCCGUUCCUCACACCGGAACAGGAGAAGUUGCACCUACUGUGUCUAGUAAGGGCUCUCUGUACUUACGUCCACCGCUCCGGCCAGUGACGUAAGUCAGAGCAGCUGCUGAUCUGCUUUGACGGUGACAGUAGGGGUGAUGCUGUGUCGAAGCAGUGCCGAAGCAGUGCAUCUCUAAUUGGAUAGUGGAAGUAAUCUCUAUCGCCUAUUAGGCACUCAGUCUUGCUACGUCUCUGGGCAUAAGGGCUCAUUCCACCAGUGGGGUCGACUUCUCGAAGGCUUUGUCCAAAGGGGGUCCCUUACAGGAUGUGUGUGCUGCGGCAGGGUUCAUUCAAUAUAACAGCUUGGAUAUAUGUUCCACCCCAGGCUCAAGUGUCUGGUGGUGAUCUUCAGGCUCGGACCUUUUGAACAGGCCAUGUCCUCAGUAUGACGGAAUGGGUAUUCUCGUUCCCAUGGCAUAACAGUCACGCAGCGUUGAGUUCCCUUUGAAAGGGAACAUGUGGGUUAUGCAUGUAACCCUGUUCCCUGAGAAGGGAAAGAGACGUUACGUAGCUUUGUCAUUCUGGGGCAUGCCUGUGAAUUGCGUCUUCAGUUCAGAUAAUAGAGGCUGAUGGCGCAGAUCACAGGUGCCGUUUAUAUAUCACUCUAUGUGCUUAAUUACCACAUCACCUGAUCACGGCAGGCCUAUAAAUAGGCAUGAUGUUACACAAGCUUCAGAUACCGGUCACGUGCGAGGGCACUUCCCACAGCGUAAAGCUCACGCAACAUCUCGUUCCCAUCCCAGGGACCAGGGUAACCCAGAGAUUUUCAGCAAAAAAAGCAGAAACACUCUGGAAGUUGCAUUGCAAAUUCUGGACAAAAUACUCAAGCAUUUUUGGCCAUAGCAAUCUCAAAAACUAUGAAAUCUUGGAAAAACAUUAAACCAAGUUGUAGGACAGGAUAUAGUUUUAGCCCUGAUCACACCCACAAUUUUG